rnacentral:rRNA from 1 species
CACGUAGGAUCCAAACGUUAUCCGGAUUUACUGGGCGUAAAGCGCGUGCAGGCGGUUUGGUAAGUUGGGUGUGAAAUCUCCAGGCUCAACCCGGAGAGGUCGCUCAAAACUGCCAGACUAGAGGACGGUAGAGGAAGGUGGAAUUCCGGGUGUAGUAGUGAAAUGCGUAGAUAUCCGGAGGAACACCAGUGGCGAAGGCGGCCUUCUGGGCCGUCCCUGACGCUCAGACGCGAAAGCUAGGGUAGC